AUUGAACGCUGGCGGCAGGCUUAACACAUGCAAGUCGAGCGGGGAAGGGUAGCUUGCUACCUAACCUAGCGGCGGACGGGUGAGUAAUGCUUAGGAAUCUGCCUAUUAGUGGGGGACAACAUCUCGAAAGGGAUGCUAAUACCGCAUACGUCCUACGGGAGAAAGCAGGGGACCUUCGGGCCUUGCGCUAAUAGAUGAGCCUAAGCCGGAUUAGCUAGUUGGUGGGGUAAAGGCCUACCAAGGCGACGAUCUGUAGCGGGUCUGAGAGGAUGAUCCGCCACACUGGGACUGAGACACGGCCCAGACUCCUACGGGAGGCAGCAGUGGGGAAUAUUGGACAAUGGGGGGAACCCUGAUCCAGCCAUGCCGCGUGUGUGAAGAAGGCCUUUUGGUUGUAAAGCACUUUAAGCGAGGAGGAGGCUACUGGUAUUAAUACUACCGGAUAGUGGACGUUACUCGCAGAAUAAGCACCGGCUAACUCUGUGCCAGCCGCCGCCGUAAUAC
rnacentral:rRNA from 1 species